UGCGUAGGGGGCAAGCGUUGUCCGGAAUCAUUGGGCGUAAAGCGCGUGUAGGCGGCCCGGUAAGUCCGCUGUGAAAGUCGGGGGCUCAACCCUCGAAAGCCGGUGGAUACUGUCGGGCUCGAGUACGGGAGAGGCGAGUGGAAUUCCUGGUGUAGCGGUGAAAUGCGCAGAUAUCAGGAGGAACACCGAUUGCGAAGGCAGCUCGCUGGAACGUUACUGACGCUGAGACGCGAAAGCGUGGGGAGCAAACAGG
rnacentral:rRNA from 1 species